AAUGGACGAAAGUCUGAUGCAGCGACACCGCGUGAAGGAUGAAGGCCCUAGGGUUGUAAACUUCUUUUAUUAGGGAAUAGCAAGGAAGGUACCUAAUGAAUAAGCAACGGCUAACUACGUGCCAGCAGCCGCGGUAAUACGUAGGUUGCAAACGUUGUCCGGAAUCACUGGGCGUAAAGGGUCCGUAGGCGGUUUGAUAAGUCUCAUAUGAAAGCUUCAAGCUCAACUUGGAGAUGUUGUGAGAUACUGUCAGACUAGAGACUGUUAGAGGUAAGUGGAAUUCCAGGUGUAGUGGUGAAAUGCGUAGAUAUCUGGAGGAACACCAGUGGCGAAAGCGACUUACUGGGACAGUUCUGACGCUAAGGGACGAAAGCGUGGGGAGCGAACCGGAUU
rnacentral:rRNA from 1 species